GAGUGCAGAAGGNGAGAGUGGAAUUCCAUGUGUAGCGGUGAAACGCGUAGAUAUAUGGAGGAACACCGGUGGCGAAAGCGGCUCUCUGGUCUGUAACUGACGCUGAGGCUCGAAAGCGUGGGGAGCGAACAGGAUUAGAUACCCUGGUAGUCCACGCCGUAAACGAUGAGUGCUAGGCGUUAGGCCCUUUCCGGGGCUUAGUGCCGCAGCUAACGCAUUAAGCACUCCGCCUGGGGAGUACGACCGCAAGGUUGAAACUCAAAGGAAUUGACGGGGGCCCGCACAAGCGGUGGAGCAUGUGGUUUAAUUCGAAGCAACGCGAAGAACCUUACCAGGUCUUGACAUCCCGAUGCCCGCUCUAGAGAUAGAGUUUUACUUCGGUACAUCGGUGACAGGUGGUGCAUGGUUGUCGUCAGCUCGUGUCGUGAGAUGUUGGGUUAAGUCCCGCAACGAGCGCAACCCUUAUUGUUAGUUGCCAUCAUUCAGUUGGGCACUCUAGCGAGACUGCCGGUAAUAAACCGGAGGAAGGUGGGGAUGACGUCAAAUCAUCAUGCCCCUUAUGACCUGGGCUACACACGUGCUACAAUGGCUGGUACAACGAGUCGCAAGUCGGUGACGGCAAGCUAAUCUCUUAAAGCCAGUCUCAGUUCGGAUUGUAGGCUGCAACUC
rnacentral:rRNA from 1 species